rnacentral:lncRNA from 1 species
CCCGGUGCGUGGUAGGUGCUUGAUAAACAUUCCUUCAGUGCGUAGUAGGUGCUUGAUAAACGUUCCUUCAGUGCCCGGUGUGUGGUAGGUGCUCGAUAAACGUUCCUUCAGCCCCUGGUGCAUGGUAGGUGCUUGACAAACGUUCCUUCACUGUGUAGUAGGUGCUUGAUAAAUGUUCCUUCAGUGCCUGGCAGGUGCUUGAUAAACGUUCCUUCAGUGCGUAGUAGGUGCUUGAUAAACGUUCCUUCAGCCCCUGGUGCAUGGUAGGUGCUUGAUAAACGUUCCUUCAGCCCCUGGUGCGUGGUAGGUGCUUGAUAAACGUUCCUUCAGCCCCUGGUGCGUGGUAGGUGCUUGAUAAACGUUACUUCAGUGCGUGGUAGAUGCUUGAUAAACGUUCCUUCAGUGCGUGGUAGAUGCUUGAUAAACGUUCCUUCAGUGCGUAGUAGGUGCUUGAUAAACGUUCCUUCAGUGCGUAGUAGGUCCUUGAUAAACGUUCCUUCAGCCCCUGGUGCAUGGUAGGUGCUUGAUAAACAUUCCUUCAGUGCGUAGUAGGUGCUUGAUAAACGUUCCUUCAGUGCCCGGUGUGUGGUAGGUGCUCGAUAAACGUUCCUUCAGCCCCUGGUGCAUGGUAGGUGCUUGACAAACGUUCCUUCACUGUGUAGUAGGUGCUUGAUAAAUGUU